rnacentral:rRNA from 1 species
UACGGAGGGAGCUAGCGUUGUUCGGAAUUACUGGGCGUAAAGCGCACGUAGGCGGCUUUGUAAGUUAGAGGUGAAAGCCCGGGGCUCAACUCCGGAACUGCCUUUAAGACUGCAUCGCUUGAAUCCGGGAGAGGUGAGUGGAAUUCCGAGUGUAGAGGUGAAAUUCGUAGAUAUUCGGAAGAACACCAGUGGCGAAGGCGAUCUGCUGGGUCAGUACUGACACUGAGGUACGAAAGCGUGGGGAGCAAACAGGA